rnacentral:rRNA from 1 species
GAAGGGGGCGAGCGUUGUUCGGAUUUACUGGGCGUAAAGGGCGCGCAGGCGGCCAUUCAAGUCAGGCGUGAAAGCCCCGGGCUUAACCUGGGAGGUGCGCUUGGGACUGGGUGGCUAGAGAUCGGGAGAGGAGAGUGGAAUUCCCAGUGUAGAGGUGAAAUUCGUAGAUAUUGGGAAGAACACCGGUGGCGAAGGCGGCUCUCUGGACCGAUACUGACGCUGAGGCGCGAAAGCGUGGGGAGCAAACAGGAUUAGAUACCCUGGUAGUCCACGCUGUAAACGAUGUGUGCUAGACGUUGGGGAGCCUAGCUCUUCGGUGUCGCAGCUAACGCGGUAAGCACACCGCCUGGGGAGUACGGCCGCAAGGUUA